rnacentral:rRNA from 1 species
UUUCAGCAGGGACGAAGCGCAAGUGACGGUACCUGCAGAAGAAGCACCGGCUAACUACGUGCCAGCAGCCGCGGUAAUACGUAGGGUGCAAGCGUUGUCCGGAAUUACUGGGCGUAAAGAGUUCGUAGGCGGUUUGUCGCGUCGUUUGUGAAAACCAGCAGCUCAACUGCUGGCUUGCAGGCGAUACGGGCAGACUUGAGUACUGCAGGGGAGACUGGAAUUCCUGGUGUAGCGGUGAAAUGCGCAGAUAUCAGGAGGAACACCGGUGGCGAAGGCGGGUCUCUGGGCAGUAACUGACGCUGAGGAACGAAAGCGUGGGUAGCGAACAGGAUUAGAUACCCUGGUAGUCCACGCCGUAAACGGUGGGCGCUAGGUGUGGGUUCCUUCCACGGAAUCCGUGCCGUAGCUAACGCAUUAAGCGCCCCGCCUGGGGAGUACGGCCGCAAGGCUAAAACUCAAAGGAAUUGACGGGGGCCCGCACAAGCGGCGGAGCAUGUGGAUUAAUUCGAUGCAACGCGAAGAACCUUACCUGGGUU